rnacentral:rRNA from 1 species
GAUGAACGCUGGCGGCGUGCCUAAUACAUGCAAGUCGAGCGAAUGGAUUAAGAGCUUGCUCUUAUGAAGUUAGCGGCGGACGGGUGAGUAACACGUGGGUAACCUGCCCAUAAGACUGGGAUAACUCCGGGAAACCGGGGCUAAUACCGGAUAACAUUUUGAACCGCAUGGUUCGAAAUUGAAAGGCGGCUUCGGCUGUCGCUUAUGGAUGGACCCGCGUCGCAUUAGCUAGUUGGUGAGGUAACGGCUCACCAAGGCAACGAUGCGUAGCCGACCUGAGAGGGUGAUCGGCCACACUGGGACUGAGACGCGGCCCAGACUCCUACGGGAGGCAGCAGUAGGGAAUCUUCCGCAAUGGACGAAAGUCUGACGGAGCAACGCCGCGUGAGUGAUGAAGGCUUUCGGGUCGUAAAACUCUGUUGUUAGGGAAGAACAAGUGCUAGUUGAAUAAGCUGACACCUUGACGGUACCUAACCAGAAAGCCACGGCUAACUACGUGCCAGCCGCCGCGGUAA